rnacentral:rRNA from 1 species
AGAGUUUGAUCCUGGCUCAGAUUGAACGCUGGCGGCAUGCCUUACACAUGCAAGUCGAACGGUAACGCGGGGCAACCUGGCGACGAGUGGCGAACGGGUGAGUAAUAUAUCGGAACGUGCCCAGUUGUGGGGGAUAACUGCUCGAAAGAGCAGCUAAUACCGCAUACGACCUGAGGGUGAAAGCGGGGGAUCGCAAGACCUCGCGCAAUUGGAGCGGCCGAUAUCAUAUUAGGUAGUUGGUGGGGUAAAGGCCUACCAAGCCGACGAUCUGUAGCUGGUCUGAGAGGACGACCAGCCACACUGGGACUGAGACACGGCCCACACUCCUACGGGAGGCAGCAGUGGGGAAUUUUGGACAAUGGGGGCAACCCUGAUCCAGCCAUGCCGCGUGCGGGAAGAAGGCCUUCGGGUUGUAAACCGCUUUUGUCAGGGAAAAAAAGACUCCUACUAAUACUGGGGGUUCAUGACGGUACCUGAAGAAUAAGCACCGGCUAACUACGUGCCAGCAGCCGCGGUAAUACGUAGGGUGCAAGCGUUAAUCGGAAUUACUGGGCGUAAAGCGUGCGCAGGCGGUUAUGCAAGACAGAUGUGACAUCCCCGGGCUCAACCUGAGAACUGCAUUUGUGACUGCAUGGCUAGAGUACGGUAGAAGGGGGGAAUGGAAUUUCCGCGUGUAGCAGUGAAAUGCGUAGAUAUGCGGAAGGAACACCGGAUGGGCGAGGCAUCCCCUGGACCUGUACUGACGCUCAUGCACGAAAGCGUAGGGAAGCAAACAGUAUUAGAUACCCUGUAGUCCACGCCCUAAACGAUGUCAACUGUUUGUUAAGAAAUCUCUUCCUUCUCAGUACGUAGCUAACGCGUGAGUCGGACCGCCUUGAGAGUACGCGGCAGGAUGAACUCGAUGAUCGACGGCACGCACUGCGUGUAUGAUGUGAUUAAGUCCGAUGCCAA